rnacentral:rRNA from 1 species
GUCGAGCGAACAGACGAGGAGCUUGCUCCUCUGACGUUAGCGGCGGACGGGUGAGUAACACGUGGAUAACCUACCUAUAAGACUGGGAUAACUUCGGGAAACCGGAGCUAAUACCGGAUAAUAUAUUGAACCGCAUGGUUCAAUAGUGAAAGACGGUUUUGCUGUCACUUAUAGAUGGAUCCGCGCCGCAUUAGCUAGUUGGUAAGGUAACGGCUUACCAAGGCAACGAUGCGUAGCCGACCUGAGAGGGUGAUCGGCCACACUGGAACUGAGACACGGUCCAGACUCCUACGGGAGGCAGCAGUAGGGAAUCUUCCGCAAUGGGCGAAAGCCUGACGGAGCAACGCCGCGUGAGUGAUGAAGGUCUUCGGAUCGUAAAACUCUGUUAUUAGGGAAGAACAAAUGUGUAAGUAACUAUGCACGUCUUGACGGUACCUAAUCAGAAAGCCACGGCUAACUACGUGCCAGCAGCCGCGGUAAUACGUAGGUGGCAAGCGUUAUCCGGAAUUAUUGGGCGUAAAGCGCGCGUAGGCGGUUUUUUAAGUCUGAUGUGAAAGCCCACGGCUCAACCGUGGAGGGUCAUUGGAAACUGGAAAACUUGAGUGCAGAAGAGGAAAGUGGAAUUCCAUGUGUAGCGGUGAAAUGCGCAGAGAUAUGGAGGAACACCAGUGGCGAAGGCGACUUUCUGGUCUGUAACUGACGCUGAUGUGCGAAAG